UGUAAUGAUGAUCACAGGUGUGAGACAUCUGUUUUACAUGCUCCGGGACAUUCAGGAGUUCUGACUAAACUUCAGUGUGCAAAGUAAGUAAGCUUUGUUUUCUCCUUAAAUAUGUUUUUGAGUGAAAAGAAAAGGCGAUUUACUGCUCAGAACAUCUGGUCUACUCUUGCUAUCUUUAUUUUGUUCAGUAACCCGGGUAGGUAGUGCUGCUGUCAUAAUUAAAUCUGUGUUUACUCAUCCAUGCUGCAUUGCUCAUUAUCCUUGCUUACCACCAUCUCUAUUUUAAAGGCCCCGUGACAAGAAGGCCUGAGAGAGUUUCUUUGCUGUGGAACAAAAAAAAAGAAGCUCUUUUGGUGUUAACAGAGAAUAACUUUGUUACCACUGACAUUUGAGGUUGAGCUUUUACUUGAAUUGUUUUUAAGUCUGACUUCCUUGUUUGCCUCGUGAAUGUGGGUGACGAGGAGGCCGGCCAGCUUGGAGGCCUCAGGGGGCAAAGUAUGACAUCAAGCAUUUUAUCUAAAAGUUGGUGAAACUGUUAGCAGAGAUAAUCAGCAAAGAACUUUGGACCGAACUUGAGCUCGGAGGAAGCUUCAGCAAUGUCUAGAACAAGCUGACAGUCAAUUAUCAGCACAUUUUUCUCCACAGAGUUCCUUUUUGUAUAUACAUCCUCAAUUCCAGUUCUGGACUUGAAAAAGGAGACCGUUUUUCCAGACACUGAUUUUCUCCUAUAUCUCGUCUCCUGGUGUAUCUUUUUUUUUUAACAGGCUGACUCAUGGGUCUUGCAAGCCUCGCAAUUCCUGCCCGCUGAGUAUGGAGGAAUGCCGACCGGCUGGUGGCUGCUCCUGUGUGUGUGACAACUGGCAAUAUUGCUCUGAACGCUGCUGUGACAUCUGCUGCCAGAUGUGCCUGGACGUGUGCUGUGGCUUGUGUUCGGGAGACUGCAGCUAUACCUUCUGUAGCCUUUGCCUUGGCUUGGCACAGAACUGUGUCGCAUAUUUUACCACACAACAAACCGAAACGACAGAGGUACAACAAGCUAUGAUGGGCCCAGUCCAGUAUGCCUAAGGAAGAAGUGACCGAAGCCACAAGAUCCAUUGAUUCAAGAACACCAGUGGCUGUGGAGCCAAGCUAUCUGCUGCUGUAUAAUGAGGACGGUGACGGGAAGCACAAUGAGGGGGAAAGAGCGGUCGACAGAGUGAACAAUGGCCAUCGCAAUAAACUCAAGCUUAUCGCUGCUGUCAUGGCUGAACAAAAGCUCCGUCAACAAAACCAGCGUUCCAGGGUCCCAUCCGUGUGAAGGCAGAGACUAUACCCGAACAAUCGUGUUGCCAUCUUUCCAGCCCCAUGCUGCACCUUAUUUCAUGUGGAUGGAUUUAUUUCUUGUAUAUCUCGAUGUUUGGUUCCAAAAGGUCAACUACUUUACUUUACCUGUGUUUUUCAGUACAGGAGACAAACCAUCAACCGAGUGAGAGUGUUGCCGUUUUCCCAUCUUGUCGAUGAAACUGAAUUGUAGAAAUGGCCUCAUCCUGCCAUACAAACAGUACUUCAAAGCACACAUUAGAUGUCGGCAAGAUUGUUUUGCACUUUGAGGCAAACAAAAACCCAAUUUGGUUGCACAUGGUGUACAUUCUCAAAUCUCUUUUGUGAGAUGAUGGCGCCUGAGGACACACGGUGCUAUUUGCAUCCACUGAAUUAGACCUUUUUAUUAUCCUCUCUGAAAUUGCAAGUUUAUGGAAAUGUUAAUGAUUGAGGGAGUCAUGUUGCUGCAUCAAAAGAAACUUAGAGUGAGGUUUUACGGAGAAAAUCGAACAACGCAAGAGAGUAUGAAGGACUGCGUUGUGUCCCCGACUGUCUCUGCUCCUGUUUGCUCUCCUCCUCGUCCCUCUGGACUCUACAGUGCAUUCAGUCCAACUCGAAUGUAUCUCUCAAACUCACAGGAUACGCUGGGUUGCCUAGUUUACUCCUCAACUGACCGUAUCCUCCUGAACGCUUGUGUCUUUUUAUGAUAUCAGUAAUCAUAUCGAAGUUUCCUCAAGAAAAGGAGUCGAGUCAUCUCCUUUUUACACAGCGUUGACGUUGGCCUUCCAGUUCAGUCUGCCGUCGAUGGAGAUGCCCAGGAACUUGUCCUCGUCCACCCUGUCCACAUCCUCUCCCAGAACUCUCAGCGGUCGUGGAGCAGUCGUCUUCCUCCUGGAGUCCACCACCACAAUGCGAUCCAAAGGAACCACAAAGUGACAUUCAACAAGAUAGAAGAUUCCCAGAGGAGAACGUUGGCCACUUUGUACAGCUGAAUCUCCCAUCGAACCCAUCAGAACUGUCGGGUGAAUACGAUAUAUGUUCAGUUGUGAAUGAGAUCGAUGUUAUUAAACUUACAUAAAUGUAAUGUCAGUUAAAAACUUAAGUUCAGAUACUAGAUGCUAGACUAAUUGAGAUACUAGUGAACUGCUGAAUACGCUUAUAACCAAUAUUAGGAUCUCCCUUAAAUUAGAACUAAUAUGAAAUGCUUAUCAAACUCAACUUCUGAAAGGUGAGUUUAUCUUUUAAAACUAAAUUAGAUUCAUAAACAACAUUUAAUUGAUUAAAUGGUCACAUGUUCGUUUGUACAUGGCCAUUGUAUUCUUCAUUUGUCUGUUUAGUAGUAUCAUGUGUAGUUAACAGAUCAAUAAAUAUUCCCUUUUUUUAAAGAACUUUAUCAUUCGAUAUGUGUGUGUAUAUGACAUGAUAAGUCACUGUACACCAUGUCAAGAUCUCCGGAGCAAACAGAGAUUGAGAUUUAAUUGAUUAAUGUACAAUAUCCUCCUGAGAACCAAGGAAAAAUAGUGUCCUGGUUUUUUUGUGAUUUUCUGCCUAUUUAGAAUUAAUUAUUAUUUUAAAUGUUACAGCACCACAGGACAAUUUUCUUGUGAAAAGACAGAUAAAUACAGAAGAUAAACUAACAAAUUAUUUUGGCUGUAGAGUGAUAUUAAACAAAUAAUGCAUUCAACUUCAUUAUUAAACUAAAUCAUUCAUAAUCUGGAUUGUUUUGCUUGUUGAAUUGAAGGACGUUUUUUAUUAAAACUGAACAUCUUAAGCCCAGGAUGUCCUCUUUAGAAUACAGACAGACUUGAUGAGUCAAAGAAGAGAUGCAAAACCAAAAUGUACAACAGAGGACACAAAUGAAUGUGUUGGGUCUCAGGAGGAUAUUUAAGUUUUUCUGUUUUUUCCAAAAUUGGUUGGCAUCCGUAAAUCAAUUUUAAAUGCUGUUGCUUAAACCAAUGUGUCUAAUAGCUGAAGCUGUGUGCCAUCACUCACAUUCACUUUAUGAUCCAUCAUUUAAUUAAUAUCCUUGCAUAUCUUGAUAAUGAUAUAUUAAUAAAUAUGAAA